rnacentral:rRNA from 1 species
UAAUACGUAGGGGGCGAGCGUUAUCCGGAUUUAUUGGGCGUAAAGCGUGUGUAGGCGGUUUAUUAAGUUUAAGAUUAAAGCCCGGGGCUCAACUCCGGUAAGUCUUAAAAACUGGUAGACUUGAGUACGGUAGAGGCAAACGGAAUUUCUAGUGUAGCGGUGAAAUGCGUAGAUAUUAGAAGGAACACCAGUGGCGAAAGCGGUUUGCUGGGCCGUUACUGACGCUGAGGCACGAAAGCGUGGGGAGCAAAUAGGAUUAGAUACCCUAGUAGUCCACGCCGUAAACGAUGAGUACUAAGUGUUGGGGUUACCCAGUGCUGAAGCUAACGUAUUAAGUACUCCGCCUGAGUAGUACGGUCGCAAGGCUG